UGGGGAAUUUUGCACAAUGGGCGCAAGCCUGAUGCAGCGACGCCGCGUGAGGGAUGAAGGCCUUCGGGUUGUAAACCUUUUUCGCUCAUGGUCAAGCCGCAGCUUUGGGUUGUGGUGAGGGUAGUGGGUAAAGAAGCGCCGGCUAACUACGUGCCAGCAGCCGCGGUAAUACGUAGGGGGCGAGCGUUGUCCGGAAUUAUUGGGCGUAAAGGGCUUGUAGGCGGUUGGCCGCGUCUGCCGUGAAAUCCUCUGGCUUAACUGGGGGCGUGCGGUGGGUACGGGUUGUCUUGAGUGCGGUAGGGGAGACUGGAAUUCCUGGUGUAGCGGUGGAAUGCGCAGAUAUCAGGAGGAACACCGGUGGCGAAGGCGGGUCUCUGGGCCGUUACUGACGCUGAGGAGCGAAAGCGUGGGGAGCGAACAGG
rnacentral:rRNA from 1 species